CUGCUCCCAGGGGGGCCAUUUGUCUUGAAAACAAAUUAAAAGUGUUCAAUUCACUUAGCAGCCUAGCA
rnacentral:tRNA from 1 species